ensembl:lncRNA
GAGCUGAUGACGUCACAUUUCCACAAAACUACAAGAGCACAGUGGAAAGAGUCCAGUACACACCGCAGGAUCCAGAGAGGGUUUCAGGAGCUCUGAUCAAUGUGGUAAAACACCUGGGCAACCUGAAGUUCAGAGUCUGGGAGAAUAUGCAGGAGACUAUUCAAUACAGUAAGUGUAUAUAUCCCUUUCAAACACAAAAUAACACACACAAACACAGAGUGAGAGAGAAGGAGAGAGAGAGAGAGCACAUUUCAUACACAGAGGCAAUUCAAUGUGCUUUACAUAAAUAAGAGCAAAAAUAACCUCCAAAAGAAAUCUGAAGACAAGUGAA